AACCUCCGCAAUGUGAGAAAUCGCGACGGGGGGAUCCCAAGUGCCAUUCUUAACGGGAUGGCUUUUCUUAAGUGUAAAAAGCUUUUGGAAUAAGAGCUGGGCAAGACCGGUGCCAGCCGCCGCGGUAACACCGGCAGCUCUAGUGGUAGCUGUUUUUAUUGGGCCUAAAGCGUUCGUAGCCGGUUUGAUAAGUCACUGGUGAAAUCCUGUAGCUUAACUGUGGGGAUUGCUGGUGAUACUGUUGAACUUGAGGUCGGGAGAGGUUAGCGGUACUCCCAGGGUAGAGGUGAAAUUCUGUAAUCCUGGGAGGACCACCUGUGGCGAAGGCGGCUAACUGGAACGAACCUGACGGUGAGGGACGAAAGCUAGGGGCGCGAACCGGAUUAGAUACCCGGGUAGUCCUAGCCGUAAACGAUGCGGACUUGGUGUUGGGAUGGCUUUGAGCCGCUCCGGUGCCGAAGGGAAGCUGUUAAGUCCGCCGCCUGGGAAGUACGGUCGCAAGACUGAAACUUAAAGGAAUU
rnacentral:rRNA from 1 species